CACAACCCCUGAAAAGGUUGGGAAGUUCUCCUUUCCCGAAUAUGUACCGCACACCGACACAGAACUUGACAACAGUACUUUGAGUUGUGGAAGAGAGGCCAACGGGCAACUGGCAGAUGUCAAAGGAGCUCAGAUGGCGGCUCGUUCCAAACACCGUGAGCAGUAUGACUGCAAUCCUGAGGGCAAAGGGGGAGAAAGAAUCACACAGAUCCCCAUCAAAGCCAGAAAUGACAGCAACGGCAAAGAGAAUAGUGCUGCAGGACCAAGGCCUCCAUACAUGGGUCACUGCCUACUCACAGCUAUACAAACGAUUGCAAAAUGUGAGCUCCCCCCAAAAAGAGCUGCAGAUGGGAGACAUUCAAAGAGGUGAGCUGUAACUAAUGAUUCUUUUCUGCUGAUCACUUGUCUGGUCAAUAUAAAGUCCGAGGUGAUGUCCUCAAAAGUCUCGUUUGGUCCACAACCUAAAGAUGUUCAUUUCCCCGUCAUGGAGGACUGAAGAAGCUAGAAAA